AGAGUUUGAUCAUGGCUCAGAACGAACGCUGGCGGCGUGCUUAACACAUGCAAGUCGAACGCGAAAGGGACUUCGGUCCCGAGUAGAGUGGCGCACGGGUGAGUAACGCGUAAGUAAUCUACCCCUGUAUCUGGAAUAACCCACCGAAAGGUGAGCUAAUACCGGAUACGUUUAUCUUGAUGCGAAUGAUGAUAAAGAAAGGUGGCCUCUUCAUGAAAGCUACCGUACAGGGACGAGCUUGCGUACCAUUAGCUGGUUGGUAGGGUAAUGGCCUACCAAGGCGACGAUGGUUAGCGGGUCUGAGAGGAUGAUCCGCCACACUGGAACUGAAACACGGACCAGACUCCUACGGGAGGCAGCAGUGAGGAAUAUUGCGCAAUGGGGGCAACCCUGACGCAGCGACGCCGCGUGGACGAUGAAGGCCCUUGGGUCGUAAAAUCCUGUCAGAUGGAAAGAAAUGUACAGGUGUUAAUAUCGCCUGUAUUUGACGGUACCAUCAAAGGAAGCACCGGCUAACUCCGUGCCAGCAGCCGCGGUAAUACGGAGGGUGCGAGCGUUGUUCGGAAUUACUGGGCGUAAAGCGCGCGUAGGCGGUUUGCUAAGUCAGAUGUGAAAGCCCUCGGCUUAACCGGGGACGUGCAUUUGAAACUGGCAGACCUGAGUACUGGAGGGGGUGGUGGAAUUCCCGGUGUAGAGGUGAAAUUCGUAGAUAUCGGGAGGAAUACCGGUGGCGAAGGCGACCACCUGGCCAGAUACUGACGCUGAGGUGCGAAAGCGUGGGGAGCAAACAGGAUUAGAUACCCUGGUAGUCCACGCCGUAAACGAUGAGAACUAGGUGUUGGGAUGGUUAAUCGUCUCAUUGCCGCAGCUAACGCAUUAAGUUCUCCGCCUGGGGAGUACGGUCGCAAGAUUAAAACUCAAAGGAAUUGACGG
rnacentral:rRNA from 1 species